rnacentral:misc_RNA from 1 species
GGCUAGCUAGGUUAGGCAGGCGCGCGCUUACGUACAUCGCUGCUGAUGUCGGUUCUGAUGCCCCCCGGCGCGACGCAGUUGACGCGGAUGCCGUCGCCGGCCCACUCGGCGGCGAGGCUGCGCGUGAGCUGGUUCAGGGCGCCCUUGGACAUGGAGUAGACGGCGAGCGCCGGGAGCCCGACGAAGCCAGCGACGGAGGAGACGUGCACGACGCUGCCGCCCCCGCCGCCGCUGGCGAGGCGGAGGAGCGGGUGCGCGAGCUGGCUGAGGUGGAAGCACGACUCCAGGUUGGUCGCCAUGAUCCGGGAGUAGUCCUCGCCGGUGCACUCGGCCGUCCGCUUGAACAGGGACUGCCCCGCGUUGUUCACGAGGAUAUCGAGCCUGCCGCCGAAGGUGGCCCCCACGGUGGCCACGAGGCGCUCGCGGUCGGCGCGCGCCGACACGUCGCAGGCGGACACGGUCACCUGCAGCCCCUUCUCGUCCCAUCUCCGCCGGCACUCCUCCAGCUCCGCCGCGUUGCGCGAGCACGUGUGCACCCGGGCGCCGAACCCGGCGAGCUCCUCGACGAUCGCGUGCCUGCCAUGCCAUUCGUGUUACUGUGUCAUCCCACUCCACUCGUGAUACAAAUGAAGCACGUACUGUAUGUAUGUAUGUAUGUACCCAAUGCCCUUGCUGCCGCCGGUGACGAGCGCCGUCGCGCCGGCGAGGUUCCACCGCUCCGCCCUGUUCCUGCCGGCAGCCACCAUCUUCUUCUCUCUACUAUGUAUUCUCUUGACUCGUGUAGAUUGUGGAGUGCAGAUGGGAAGG